rnacentral:tRNA from 1 species
GGUGGCUCAGUGGUAGAGUGCUUGCCUUGCAUGCGUGAGGUCCUGGGUUUGAUUUCCCCAGCACCA